AUGUUCUUUGACAAUGUUGUUGAGGUUUUGCGGGAUUCUUCCAAGCGUUCCUUUUCCUGUUGCCUCCAGCGUGAAAUGCCAUCUUGGCUGGAAAGAAGUCUGAACAUCCACCUCAGUCAGAUUUACAGAAAACUGGACAACUUCCUUAAAUCACUUUUCUUCCAGCCUGAGGAAUCCAAAGCAUGUGGAGACUUUUUUCCCCCUGAGGAAGUAGAAAUGGCUGUGGCAGCUUAUUUUGAUGUCUUUUAGCAGAACAUUUUCACUUAUCAGUCAG